AGUAACUUCAAAAAGACAUUUCUCUGGUUUAGCGUAUAAUUUGUGAGUUCUCAAUCUAGAUAGAACCCAUCUUACAUGCUUCCUAUGCUCAUCCAAGUUGUUAGAAUAUAUUAGAAUAUCAUCUAAGUAGAUAAUACAAACAUCCAAAAGAUCUCUAAAGAUAUCAUUUAUAAAAUGUUGGAAUGUUGCAGGGGCAUUACAAAGCCCAAAAGGCAUCACUAGAUAUUCGUAGAGACCAUAUCUAGUCCGGAAGGCGGUCUUCCAUUCAUCAUCCUGUUUUAUUCUAAUGAGGUUAUAUGCGCCUCGGAG